UUAAAAAAUAAUUAAUUAUUAAAGAGGAAAAAAAAGGGGGUGGGGAGGGGUUGUCACAGGCUGGGGCCGCGGUGGGGCCCGGCUGCUGCUGAAUGCUGUGUGGACAGAGGGUGGCUGAAGCAUCCCCUCUUAUCACAGCAAAAUAUCCCCUUAUUAGCAAAAACUUGCAAAAAAGGGGAUUUUAACACAAAAGGGAGAGGCUGGGGGGGGGGGGGGAGGGCGGCUGAGGCAGCAGGAGGCCGCGUCCACACGAGGUGCUCCUGUUCCCACCUGAGAGGCAUCGCUGUGGGUGUCUGGAUUUAGCACUGGGGAAGCUGGGGACUGGUGCAAGGAGGCCCAGAAUUACCUCAUUUCAUGAUUUUGGGGAGUUUCAAAACAAAAACAAAAACAAAAAAACACAAAGGUUGCUCCCACCGCCCACCAACCCCCUAAAAACUCCACAAGCCCCUCACGUGCCAGCCCCGUGCUUCGCAGCCCAAGAAGUAGCCCACACAGCUGUGACCAGAAGCUUCCCCCAGCCCCUGGCCGCGGAGCAGCACCUUGGAGCCGUGCCUGGAAGAGCAGGGAGCUGAGGCAGCGAGGCCCGAAGGAUGGAUGAACCAUGCCGGGGUUGCUCCGGAGCGGCCGCAGAGCCAAGGACAGAUGGACGGACGCAGGACAGGAGGGCAGAGCAGCGUACGGGGAGCUAGAGAGCAGGCCUCGAACGGUGGGAGCGGCUUUUGGCACGAGAAAGGAAGGUGGAGGUCAUCCACUGCGAUUCGGAGGAGCUGAGCUCUCGCUGUGGGCGUUUCUUGGUGCCCCUUCUCACAGGGAGUUGGGUGCUGGCGCUUUGAUGGUCCAAAAUCCAGCACCACGAGCAUUCAGUCUGCUUUUAGACACCAAGGACAGACUUGUAAAUGGGGUGCAAAUGGCCUGGCACCGCAGCUCAGGGCCCACGUGCCCCCCGCAGCAGGCUCAGGAGCUGGUGUAUCCUUCGUCCUUACCUCGCCACAGAUUGACUAGCAUCACAGUUCAGUCUUUUUCUUUAAAAGAAGCUAAUAUACAGAAUAUAAAGCACAAUAUUUACAACUGUAUGGUAAACAGUUUCAUUUCCACACUGAUCAGUAGUCUGUUUUAAUGUGUAUAAAAGAAAUUCUUACAUGACCUAAGAGGAACUGACACAAAGUGACACAGCAUGGGAAAAGAUUCAUCAAUACCCUCCACUUAAACACAUUAAAUAAUAAAUAAUCUUUUUUGGCAGAACCUAGCUACAUACACUUUAGCCACAGGUAAGGUGUUUUAAGAACCAGAUUGUGUGUUCCUUUCAGUGAUACCAUGUUACACAGGAAGUGUCUAGUUACCGAGCUUUUUUUUCAUCAUCUUCAACCCCUUCUUGAUUAAAAUAAAUCUUUAGGAUUUCCAAUGAAACCUGUGUAGGGAGCAUCAGUUUGAGCAGCAGACAAAACCCGCACCUUGGGUUAGUGGCACAGUGGGACUGCAGUGUUCUGCCAUCAAAGUGACACAGACUACCAGGUUUAAAGCUCUCAAAACAUCCCAGAGUUGUGUGUGUUUUUUUUUUUAACAUUAUUUUUUUUUUCCUCAAAAGACAGACCCAACCAUACAUACAAGCACCACCUUGCCUACAGAAGUGCUUCAGUGUUGGAGUGCCUCAAAUUAGGUAGGAGGGAAUCGUGACUUCUAGAAACAUCAAGUACCCAUUUCUUACAAUUCAUUGCUUCUUCAAAAGAGAAGCUUUGAACAGCUCCCACAGAUGCGGAAGGGCCUUAAGACACUGAACCACACAAAAAAACA